AAAGAUAUCUGGUUGAUCCUGCCUGAACUGAUGUGUUCAUUUCAAAGAUUAAGCCAUGCAUGUAUAAGUUUAAUCGUUUUAACGAGAAACCGCGAACGGCUCAUUACAAUGGCCAUGAUUUACUUGAUCUUGAUUAUCUAAAUGGAUAACUGUGGAAAAGCUAGAGCUAAUACAUGCACCAGAGCUUUGUCCUCUCGGAAAAGCGCAUUUAUUAGAACAAAACCACGCGGCUUCGGCUGCUUCUUGUUGACUUAGAAUAACUAAGCUGACCGCAUGGCCUUGUGCCGGCGGCGUGUCUUUCAAGCGUCCACUUUAUCAACUUGACGGGAGCAUAAUCGACUCCCGUGGUGGUGACGGAUAACGGAGGAUCAGGGUUCGACUCCGGAGAAGGGGCCUGAGAAAUGGCCACUACGUCUAAGGAUGGCAGCAGGCGCGCAAAUUACCCACUCUCGGCUCGAGGAGGUAGUGACGAGAAAUAACGAGACUGUUCUCUUUGAGGCCGGUCAUCGGAAUGGGUACAAUUUAAACCCUUUAACGAGUAUCAAGCAGAGGGCAAGUCUGGUGCCAGCAGCCGCGGUAAUUCCAGCUCUGCUAAUACAUAGAAUUAUUGCUGCGGUUAAAAAGCUCGUAGUUGGAUUCGUAUCGGUACCUUGGAACCCUUCGGGUGUUUCUGGGUGUUAUCGAUUUAUCGUAAUGUUCGGUUUUGAGUCCUUAACAGGAUUUUUAACAGUCAUUGCAAGUUUACUUUGAACAAAUCAGAGUGCUUCAAACAGGCGUUUUCGCUUGAAUGAUCGUGCAUGGAAUAAUAGAAAACGAUUUCGGUUCAGUUUUAUUGGUUUUACGGACUGAGAUAAUGGUUAACAGAGACAAACGGGGGCAUUUGUAUGGCCCCGUGAGAGGUGAAAUUCUUGGACCGUGGCCAGACAAACUACAGCGAAAGCAUUUGCCAAGAAUGUCUUCAUUAAUCAAGAACGAAAGUCAGAGGUUCGAAGGCGAUCAGAUACCGCCCUAGUUCUGACCGUAAACGAUGCCAACUAGCGAUCCGCUGAUGGAAAUUAUAUUGCCUUGGUGGGGAGCUUCCCGGAAACGAAAGUUUCCGGGAAGCUUGGUGGGGAGCUUCCCGGAAACGAAAAAAUUAAAAAUUGCCUCAGGCAAAGUAGACCAAAGUGCAAUUGACCAAGUGUCGUAGGGUUCAGGCAAUAGGGUUCCCCCAGGCAAUCAAAUUUCACCAGGCAUUUUUGGUUUAUGAGUCUGUGACGAUCCGAUUAAAAAUUGCCUCAGGCAAAGUAGACCAAAGUGCAAUUGACCAAGUGUCGUAGGGUUCAGGCAAUAGGGUUCCCCCAGGCAAUCAAAUUUCACCAGGCAUUUUUGGUUUAUGAGUCUGUGACGAUCCGAUUAAAAAUUGCCUCAGGCAAAGUAGACCAAAGUGCAUUAAAAAAAGAUUACGACACCCCCGAUUCCCAGGACGUCUCCGUUCCAAGUACUAAGGAAGCCCAGCGUUGCUUAACUUGCCAGAUCGGACGGGAUGGCGUGCUUUCAACGCGGUAAAUUGCCUCAGGCAAAGUAGACCAAAGUGCAAUUGACCAAGUGUCGUAGGGUUCAGGCAAUAGGGUUCCCCCAGGCAAUCAAAUUUCACCAGGCAUUUUUGGUUUAUGAGUCUGUGAGUCCCAGUUUAUGAGUCCCAGCGUUGCUUAACUUGCCAGAUCGGACGGGAUGGCGUGCUUUCAACGCGGUAUGGUCGUAAUCACUGUGUUUUCAAUUUCUCAAUAUUUAAGAAAAAAUUCUCUAAGGCAAAGUGGGCGGGGCUAUUUGUUGUUCGCUGUUCGCGGGAAUGGUUUAAGGCAAAAAGAAAAUGGGCAAUUAUAAAAAUGUGUGGGAGGAAAAUUAGGAUUAAAAAAAUUUUUUUGAAGAAUUAAAUUUUUUAAAAAAAAUAAAGCUUAUAACUGGCAAAAUCAACGUGCUUGUCCUACCCUGAAAGGGGCGGGUAAACCAUUGAAAAUUUGCCGUGAUUGGGAUCGGAAAUUGCAAUUAUUUUCCGUGAACGAGGAAUUCCAAGUAAGUGCGAGUCAUCAGCUCGCGUUGAUUACGUCCCUGCCCUUUGUACACACCGCCCGUCGCUGCCCGGGACUGAGCCAUUUCGAGAAAUUUGGGGACCGUUGAUUUAAUUUAUCUAAAUUAUUUUGAUGGAAACCAAUUUAAUCGCAGUGGCUUGAACCGGGCAAAAGUCGUAACAAGGUAGCUGUAGGUGAACCUGCUGCUGGAUCAUUACUUUA